UCGGCCCUACGGGACGCAGCAGUGGGGAAUAUUGCACAAUGGGCGAAAGCCUGAUGCAGCAACGCCGCGUGAGCGAUGAAGGCCUUCGGGUCAUAAAGCUCUGUCCUCAAGGAAGAUAAUGACGGUACUUGAGGAGGAAGCCCCGGCUAACUACGUGCCAGCAGCCGCGGUAAUACGUAGGGGGCUAGCGUUAUCCAGAAUUACUGGGCGUAAAGGGUGCGUAGGUGGUUUCUUAAGUCAGAGGUGAAAGGCUACGGCUCAACCGUAGUAAGCCUUUGAAACUGGGAGACUUGAGUGCAGGAGAG
rnacentral:rRNA from 1 species